GCCCGUUUAGCAUAGUGGCUAAUGCGUUGCACUUGUAUCGCUUCGACGACAUGCAAAGAUCACAGGUUCAAUUCCUGUAACGGGCA